rnacentral:ncRNA from 1 species
UCUUCGAUAUCAGCUCUCUUUAUCAUUGUGAAGCAAAUUCACAAAGCGUUGAAUUUUUCACCCGAUAAUAGAGAAAGUGAGAUGAGUUUAAAUUUCAAUGAGACUUAUU